rnacentral:misc_RNA from 1 species
GGAUAAUCUUCCUUUCCUGUACCAGCUAACUAGAACAUCAGUUAAUCCUUGUGGCAUCACAUGCCUUUUAGAUUAAUGAAAAUUUUUCAAAGCUGAUCAGCCCAUUUACAGUGUAAAAAGAGAUGAUUGAUUGUCUAAGCUUGCUCACCACAAAAGUAACAUCUGGAACAUAAUUGGAAACCCCUCCUGCCUAAGUUGUCCUGAGUAAGGACUGCCCCUUUAGCUAGUAUCCAUACAAAAGCAUGGAAUCUUGACUCUCCAUAUCAGCUUCCAUGGCCAGCAUUCCACUAAAUUGUUCGAUCUGUUCGGGUCUCUGUAAGCUGACUUGACUCAGAAUAUUUUUAACUCUUUAUUUAAGCUCCUUAAGUUGUAUUAGGCUUAAGCAUCAGCCCCUUUACAUGUUACGAACCUUAAACAGGCACUGAGAUGGCUCAGUUGGUUUGCGGAGGCUGCCACACAUUACUUAUGUACAUUCGUGGAGCAACAAGCGUGCAAUGUUCGUGCUGUCACACAGUCAAUUUAGCUAUGGAAGCAAAUCAGGUAGCACAUGUGAAUUGUGGCAACUGCCACAUGCUGC